rnacentral:rRNA from 1 species
CCUAUCAGCUAGUUGGUGAGGUAACGGCUCACCAAGGCAACGACGGGUAGCCGGCCUGAGAGGGCGAACGGCCACACUGGGACUGAGACACGGCCCAGACUCCUACGGGAGGCAGCAGUAGGGAAUAUUGCGCAAUGGAGGAAACUCUGACGCAGCGACGCCGCGUGCGGGAUGAAGGCCUUCGGGUUGUAAACCGCUUUCAGUAGGGAAGAAGCGAAAGUGACGGUACCUACAAAAGAAGCACCGGCUAACUAUUUGCCAGCAGCCGCGGUAAUACAUAGGGUGCAAGCGUUGUCCGGAAUUAUUGGGCGUAAAGAGCUCGUAGGUCGUUUGUCACGUCGGAUGUGAAAAUCUGAGGCUCAACCUCAGACCUGCAUUCGAUACGGGCAAACUAGAGUUUGGUAGGGGAGACUGGAAUUCCUGGUGUA